ACAGUCUGAGUUACAUCGAUCGUUCAAACACCAUGACUAGUCUUCCCCCAGAGAACUACAAAGGCACAACUUAAAACUCCAAGGACUUGGCGGUGCUUCAUAUCCAUCUAGAGGAGCCUGUUCUAUAAUCGAUACCCCCCGUUCAACCUCACCAUUUUUAGCACCUCAGCCAAAAUGCCGCCUUCAUCAAAAAAC
rnacentral:rRNA from 1 species